UACGUAGGGUGCGAGCGUUAAUCGGAAUUACUGGGCGUAAAGCGUGCGCAGGCGGUUCGUUAAGUCAGAUGUGAAAGCCCCGGGCUCAACCUGGGAACUGCAUUUGAAACUGGCGGGCUUGAGUGUGGCAGAGGGGGGUGGAAUUCCGCGAGUAGCAGUGAAAGGCGUAGAGAUGCGGAGGAACACCGAUGGCGAAGGCAGCCCCCUGGGCCAACACUGACGCUCAGGCACGAAAGCGUGGGGAGCAAACAGG
rnacentral:rRNA from 1 species